GCCCGAGUGGCGGAAUUGGCAGACGCCUAGGACUUAAAAUCCUAUGAAAGGUAACUUUCGUACCGGUUCGACCCCGGUCUCGGGCACCA
rnacentral:tRNA from 1 species